rnacentral:rRNA from 1 species
UACGGAGGUGGCGAGCGUUGUCCGAAGUUACUGGGCGUAAAGCGCACGCAGGCGGUCUGCUAAGUUUGGAGUGACAGUUGGUGGCUUAACUGCCAAAGUGCUUCGAAAACUGACAGACUUGAGGGCUUCAGAGGGACACGGAAUUCCGGGUGGAGUGGUGAAAUGCGUAGAGAUCCGGAGGAACACCAAAGGCGAAGGCAGUGUCCUGGGGAGUACCUGACGCUCAGGUGCGAAAGCCAGGGGAGCGAACGGG